GGCCUACGUAAAAUUUAGAAGUACAUUUUAUGAAGUGAAUCAAGUACGUAAAAUAUUAUUCAUAAAAAAUAUAUCUAUGUUAUUAAGGCGGCCCCCGAGAACUGUCAAAAUUAAACUGUCAAAUCAAAAAAAUAUGUGUUUUUACCCUUUUUUACUUUUAUACAUAGCUAUCUCAAAAUAGACAACAAUUUUCAGCCGGAAACCAUUGUGGCACCUCCAACUGGCAAAUAAAUUUUGAAAGUGUGUUGGGUUCAAUUUUUGCAUGCAUAUUUACAAUGAUGUUGUGCAUGAAUGGUGUAUUUUUUUCCGAUCUGUGCAGUAUCUUGCGUGUGGCACCCAAGUCUUAGAUCAUCUUGAAAAUGGAUUCAAUACUAAAUAAAAAAUGUGUAGUUUUGUGGGGAAUUAAUUUCUUAUCAUUUUGCUUUUUAUUUGGUACUGCUCCGGGGUCUAUUUUUGAGAUAUGUAUAAGGUAAGAACACAUCAUUUUGAAAGUUCUCGGGGGCCGCCUUAAUUUGGUUCAUUUCGGAGCACAUCUUAAAAACAGAGUUUUGAGGUGGUACACAAAAAUUUAGUUGUUUUAGCAGUUGAGGGCAAUCAAUUUUAUUGUGUAUAAUUUUAAAAAGAAAUAAAAAAAGAAUAAUACAAAUCGAGAAUGGUAAGUGUACAGGCUGGUGUCUAAAAUUUCAGUAUUUUCAUAUCAUUAGAAGUUGCGAUUUUCGUGGGGGCGCGAAAUGUGGUUCAAGUAUUGGAAAACUAGUUUCUAGCCAAAAAAUCUAAACUUUUCAAACCUUCAAAACUGAAACAAUGAGUAUAAAAUAGGUUGGUAAUAUGGUUGUGCAAACCGAUUUGUUUGUAUUUAUAAUUUUCGAAUUCGAAAUUUUUGAAAAGU